rnacentral:rRNA from 1 species
ACCUUGCUUUUGCUUGGCGUAUUUCCCGGUGGAUGGGUCAGCAUCAGUUUUGACCGCAGUUGAAAGGCUAGAGGAAUGUGGCACCUUCGGGUGUGUUAUAGCCUCCUGUCAUAUGCUGCGGUUGGGACUGAGGAACUCAGCACGCCGCAAGGCCGGGAUUCGUCCACGUUCGUGCUUAGGAUGCUGGCAUAAUGUCUGUAACCGACCCGUCUUGAAACACGGACCAAGGAGUC